GAUGAACGCUAGCUACAGGCUUAACACAUGCAAGUCGAGGGGCAGCAUGAACUUAGCUUGCUAAGUUUGAUGGCGACCGGCGCACGGGUGAGUAACACGUAUCCAACCUGCCGAUGACUCGGGGAUAGCCUUUCGAAAGAAAGAUUAAUACCCGAUGGCAUAGUUCUUCCGCAUGGUGGAACUAUUAAAGAAUUUCGGUCAUCGAUGGGGAUGCGUUCCAUUAGGUUGUUGGCGGGGUAACGGCCCACCAAGCCUUCGAUGGAUAGGGGUUCUGAGAGGAAGGUCCCCCACAUUGGAACUGAGACACGGUCCAAACUCUUACGGGAGGCAGCAGUGAGGAAUAUUGGUCAAUGGACGAGAGUCUGAACCAGCCAAGUAGCGUGAAGGAUGACUGCCCUAUGGGUUGUAAACUUCUUUUAUAAGGGUAAUAAAGUGGAGUCGUGACUCUUUUUGCAUGUACCUUAUGAAUAAGGACCGGCUAAUUCCGUGCCAGCAGCCGCGGU
rnacentral:rRNA from 1 species